rnacentral:misc_RNA from 1 species
CUCCGUCGGUUUAUAGAUCUCGCUCGUUUCCCAAUCUCCCGGCAAUCCACCGCAGAUGCCAAUAACGCCACGGAGAAAAUCCGGAUGGGUAAACGCGAACCGAUAGUUGAGCGCGCAGGUCUGCGAGAAGCCGAGUAGAAACACUCGCUGCUUAUCGACCACGCCUUCCGUCGUCAGUUUUUGCA